rnacentral:rRNA from 1 species
GUAUCCUGGCUCAGGAUGAACGCUAGCUACAGGCUUAACACAUGCAAGUCGAGGGGCAGUAUUUUAGUUUGUCUUGCAACUAAGAUGGCGACCGGCGCACGGGUGAGUAACACGGUAUCCAACCUGCCGAUAACUCGGGGAUAGCCUUUCGAAAGAAAGAUUAAUAUCCGAUGGUAUAUUAAAACCGCAUGGUUUUACUAUUAAAGAAUUUCGGUUAUCGAUGGGGAUGCGUUCCAUUAGUUUGUUGGCGGGGUAACGGCCCACCAAG